UCUAGUCUAAUGUUUUCAGACAAUGACAGACAUAAAUAUAAAAGCACAAUAAUCAAGCAAAUGAGUCCGUCUAUAAGCUCAACUAUUUAAAAAAGUGGUUUAUAAACUAUUUUAAUUACGAACUGUAAGUUGCAUAUAUGAAAACAACCUCGAAAAAAGGAAAAAAAUAAAGUAUAAAAAAAAUAAAUAAAUAAAUAAAGUAUGUGGGGUCCCGCCCUACCAGGUGAGCCAGGUCGAAUGGCAUUGUGGGUAACAUAGCAACAGUUGCACCACGGUUUGCACAUGGACAGUUCACAGCAGCCCGGGGCUACUUCAGGCUCAACCUAAGCAGCAGAAUGAGGAUAAGUUGAACCUGGAGCAGCAGACUGAGGAGGACUUCGUACUAGUGCUCAAGACUUGCAGGGUGCCGUUCAGACAGCCAAGCAUGAAGUAGGCUUUGACGGAGUAUCCUCUCGAAGCUCGAAACUCCCAUCUGCACGCACGCAAUGAAGGUUCAGUGAUGAACUUGCUUGACCUUCACAACUCUAAGUAG